GAGACCUGAUCUGAGAUCGUGCAUGUCAGGUCGCUGGAGUCCUCUUCUGGCCUGCUUGCACAGAUAGCUAUUUGCAGGGCUCGGGAAUGAAAUUGAAAAUAGACCAAACAAUGUGACAGUUUUCUCCUGCUAUUUUUUCUUCCACGAACAGAAUGUUCAGCAUUAUUUUUUUCUCUUUGUGCAAUAUUGCAAGUGAGAAAUAAUCUGAUUGGAAUGCUGGCUUAUGCUGUUUAUGAGCCUGCAGUCUCCCACAAGCUGUGCGCAGGGAGCUUUCCCGAGGAGGACAUCUAGGGACUUGCAAGAUGAAAGGUUUGGGGAGUAGCUGUGGCCACACCCAAAACGCUGGUGAGGCUAGGAAGUAAAUGCGUGGUAUGCAUACGGAUGGUACCCCUGGAGGCUUCUCUUUCCUGGGAGUGUUCUCAUGUGUUUUGCCUGAAAACUAUCAAGGAGUGGCCUGGCCCAUUCACACAGGGCCUGGGAAAGAAGGAUGCCAGAACCCACUACAUUGAAUAUACCUGUGGCCCUGCAGCUCUGCCCUCCAAAGCACAGAUGUGUGACCUUCAGCAAACUCACUGUAGCCCUGCCCAGGUGUGCCUGCUUCUGCUUCUGGAACACUCUUCCCAGACUGCACUAGGACCAGUGUGGUCCCGCCUCCCCCAUGAAGCCUCUCUUGAUUUCUCCAGUCAGCCGAAGUGAUCUUUCCUUUUUUUGUUUCACCUGCAUUGACUGCCUUAAUAUAACGUGACUCUUAUUAUUCAGAGUCUUUCAUUCACAUUUACUAAAUAAGCCAGCACAUAUAAAGAGCGUGGAACAGUGCUUGGCACAAAAU
rnacentral:lncRNA from 10 species